GCCUUCAUGAAGCUGGAAUUGCUGUAAUGGCAGGUCAGCAUACUGCCGUGAAUACGUUCCCGGGCCUUGUACACACCGCCCGUCACACCAUGAGAGUUGGGAAUACCCGAAGCCUGUGAGCUAACAUAACGAGGCAGCAGUCGAAGGUAGAAUCAAUGAUUGGGGGUGAAGUCGUAACAAGGUAGC
rnacentral:rRNA from 1 species